GGACUACUAGGGUAUCUAAUCCUGUUUGCUCCCCUAGCUUUCGUGCCUCAGUGUCAGGAAGUGUCCAGGGACUCGCCUUCGCCACUGGUGUUCCACUUGAUAUCUACGCAUUUCACUGCUACACCAAGUAUUCCAGUCCCCCCUCCACUCCUCCAGCCGGAUAGUUUCCAAUGCCAUUUCCGAGUUGAGCUCGGAGAUUUCACAUCAGACUUACCCGGCCACCUACGCACCCUUUACGCCCAGUGAAUCCGAACAACGCUUGGGACCUCUGUAUUACCGCGGCUGCUGGCAC
rnacentral:rRNA from 2 species